rnacentral:snRNA from 1 species
AUGCUUGCUUUGGCAGCACAUGCACUAAAGCUGGAAAGAGAUACAAAAAUUAACAUAGGCUCUGUGCUAGGAUGACAAACAAAUUUAUGAAAUGAUCAAAAUGUUA